AAGCAACACUCUGUGGCAGAUAUCCAGUUGCCUGUCUCAAUUUAAGCUUGCUAUAAUAAAAAAAAAGUCUAACCUAUUCCAGUGGUCUCUACCAAAUGAGGUCAUGUGUUAUAUAGACUCUAACAAC